UAUACAACAGAAACUGAUUUUCUUGAGGUAUUAAAGUUGUGGCGAGAUGGUAUUUGGAUGUGAUACUUUUGAAUAUCCGGUGAUCGGAAAAGGUAGACAGAAAAGACUUAGUGUAGAAGAUUCGGAUACAAGACAAGAUGGCAUACCAAGAAUUCAGCGAACUUCUCUUCUGCAGUUCUGCAGAAUGGCAGCAAUGGCUUCUUGCUCGGCCCCUACCAUUACCAAUCCGAUUUCUUUCAAACGGAUGGCUAUUUUGGGUAGCACUCAAAGCUAUUCGAGUUCACUCAGGUCCGAUUUCGUUCCUGCGUCGAGAUUUAGUUCCAAUUCCAGCUCAAGUACUUUGUCCCUUUCCGUCGUCAGAAAAAUACCUAGAAAAUGUUUUCAAGUAAAAUGUGUUGCCACACCAACUGAAUCAGUUGCUGGUUUUGACGAAAUGGUAUCCGGAACUCAACGCAAGUAUUACAUGCUUGGUGGAAAGGGGGGUGUUGGAAAGACCAGUUGUGCAGCUUCACUAGCUGUUAAGUUUGCAAACAAUGGUCAUCCUACCUUAGUGGUUUCGACUGAUCCUGCUCAUUCCUUGAGUGAUUCUUUUGCUCAGGAUCUAACUGGAGGAACACUAGUACCUGUUGAGGGUCCCUAUUCCCCACUUUUUGCACUUGAGAUAAACCCAGAAAAGGCAAGGGAAGAAUUCCGAAGUGCCAGCCAGUCAAGUGGUGGAAGUGGGGUCAAAGAUUUCAUGGAUGGCAUGGGCUUGGGAUUAAUUGCUGAUCAGCUUGGAGAACUAAAGCUUGGGGAGUUGCUGGAUACACCUCCUCCUGGUCUAGAUGAAGCUAUUGCAAUUUCAAAGGUUAUUCAAUUCCUUGAGUCACAAGAAUAUAACAUGUUCACUCGAAUAGUGUUUGAUACAGCCCCCACUGGUCAUACAUUACGACUUCUAUCUUUGCCAGAUUUCUUGGAUGCAUCCAUUGGAAAAAUAUUAAAGUUAAGGCAGAAAAUUACUUCAGCUACUUCCGCAAUAAAAUCUGUCUUCGGCCAGGAAGAAACUAAAGAAGAUGCUGCCAACAAAUUAGAAAAACUAAGGGAAAGAAUGAUAAAAGUGAGAGAGCUUUUUCGAAACACAAACUCUACGGAAUUUGUAAUUGUUACAAUUCCCACGGUGAUGGCCAUUAGCGAAUCGUCAAGAUUAUGUGCUUCUCUAAGGAAAGAAAGCGUUCCCGUGAAGAAGCUGGUAGUUAAUCAAGUACUCCCAGCAUCUGCUUCUGACUGCAAGUUUUGUGCAAUGAAGAGGAAGGAUCAAUUGAAAGCUCUUAGCAUGAUCCAGGAUGAUCCGGAACUUUCCAAUUUGACAAUGGUCCAGGCACCUCUUGUGGACAUGGAAAUCCGGGGUGUUCCUGCUCUUCAGUUUUUAGGGGAGAUUGUUUGGAAAUGAGCCCUUCGGCAAGUUUGGUUGUCAUACUCUUAUACGACUGCACUUGGAAUAUAUAUAUUGUCGGAUGCUGCGCUGUGGAUUCCAUCACAACAACAAAAAUCUGACGCCUCAAGUGAAAAUUCCAUGUAGCUCUUUAAGGAUAAAUUUGCAGAUCAUGUGCAAUAGCAUGCAAAUCACGCUAGUCGGAAAAGCUACACUAAGACAAGUCACGUGUGACAAAUUCGACUGAAAAACAUCAUCAAUUUUUUAUUUUUUUUUACAUGGAAAUCUGCAGCCGCUAUUCGAAUGUACACACUAGGUAGUGAACCCCGGUCGAACAUAAUACCUGUAAACUAGGUCCAACAAGGCAAGUCAUACUAGGCGAACUAUAUAUGGCAGGUGAUUUGGAGA